rnacentral:rRNA from 1 species
UACAUGGGGUGCAAACGUUGCUCGGAAUUAUUGGGCGUAAAGAGCGCGUAGGCGGCUCGUUAAGUGAGAAGUGAAAGCUGUGGGCUCAACCCACAAACCGCUUUUCAUACUGGCGAGCUGGAGUGAUGCAGAGGUGGAUAGAAUUCCCGGUGUAGCGGUGAAAUGCGUUGAUAUCGGGAGGAAUACCCGUGGCGAAGGCGGUCCACUGGGCAUCAACUGACGCUGAGGCACGAAAGCCAGGGGAGCGAACGGG